CUUAAUUAAAAGUUAAUAACUAACAAACAAAAAAAAAGUAAAAAUUAAAAGCAAAUUAGCCAAAACUGUGAUCGAAAGUUUCGUUUCAAAGCGAAAAAACCACAAAAGCACUGUAUUCGACCCACGCAAAUUAAGCCAAAGACAUUUACAAACUCUUCACCAAUAAAAAGCUCAAAAAGCUCAAUUCACAUUAAGCACACUAGGCGUACGAGGCAGCACUGCAAAAGAAAAGAAAAUAAAACAGACAAAAAAUGCCACAAAUCAAGCCACUGCUCAUCAUAUUCCUUUUCGUGGCGACCCAAUGUCCCAACUCAAGCUCACAGAAUCUGCAUGUUUACACUUAUAUUACAGAGCCGAAUUCGCAGCUCGAUCCGGAUCCGGAAUUCUUGGGCACCAUUAGUAAUGUCACAUAUCCGGCGGGACGUGAGGCGAUAUUGGCGUGUUCGGUGCGGAAUUUGGGUAAAAAUAAGGUCGGCUGGUUACGCGCCUCCGAUCAAACUGUGCUCGCCCUGCAAGGUCGCGUUGUCACACACAAUGCUCGGAUAAGCGUCAUACAUGAAGAUGCUCACACUUGGAAAUUGAAGAUAAGCAAAUUGCGCGAAAGUGAUCGCGGUUGCUACAUGUGCCAAAUAAAUACGAGUCCAAUGAAAAAGCAAAUCGGUUGCAUCGAUGUGCAAGUUCCACCCGACAUCAUCAACGAGGAAUCGUCGGCCGAUUUGGCGGUGCAAGAGGGCGAGGAUGCCACUUUGACCUGCAAGGCGACCGGCAAUCCAAUGCCGCGCGUCAUCUGGCGUCGUGAAGAUGGUGAUAUGAUUUUAAUACGCAAGCCGGGGAGUCGCGAACUCAUGAAAGUGGAAUCCUAUAGUGGCUCGUCGUUGCGGCUGGUGCGCUUGGAGCGGCGCCAGAUGGGCGCUUACUUGUGCAUUGCAUCGAAUGACGUCCCACCGGCAGUUAGUAAACGCGUUUCGCUCAGUGUACAAUUUGCACCCAUGGUACGCGCUCCCAGUCAAUUGUUAGGCACACCACUCGGCUCCGACGUACAACUGGAAUGUCAUGUCGAGGCCUCACCAUCGCCUGUCUCCUAUUGGCUGAAGGGCGCCCGCACGCCCAGCGGCUAUGCGAGCAUCUCCAAUUCGAAUUUGGAAUCGGGCCAGCCGGGGCCGGAAAUGCUUUUGGACGGUCCCAAAUAUGGCAUAACGGAAAAACGUGAUGGCUACCGUGGCGUGAUGCUGCUGGUCGUGCGCUCGUUCUCACCCUCCGAUGUUGGCACAUACCACUGUGUGAGCACGAAUUCCCUCGGCCGUGCAGAGGGCACUCUAAGGCUCUAUGAAAUUAAAUUGCAUCCCGGCAUCGCGUCUAUAAAUGACGAUCAUCUCAAUUUUAUCAGUGGCAUCGAGGAGGCGGCGCGCGGUGGUGUUCGCGCGACUUCAUUAACCACAAUUCUGAAGCUUCAUUUGGCAUUUUACAUGGCACAAUUGCUGUUUACGACGUCCAUCACAGCACCGGCGGUUGGGCAGCGUGCGUAGUUUAUAUUCAAGUUGCGAAACUAAUGCAUUUAUUUAAAACAUAUAUAUUUAGAAAUGCAAAGACAGCAGCCAAGAAAAAAU
rnacentral:misc_RNA from 1 species